rnacentral:rRNA from 1 species
UACGUAGGAUGCAAGCGUUGUCCGGAAUUACUGGGCGUAAAGGGUGCGCAGGCGGCUUCUCAAGUCAGAUGUGAAAGUUUAGGGCUUAACCCUAAAGGGUCAUUUGAAACUGGGGAGCUUGAGUAUGUCAGAGGAAGAUGGAAUUCCCGGUGUAGUGGUGAAAUGCGUAGAUAUCGGGAGGAAUACCAGUGGCGAAGGCGGUCUUCUGGGGCAAAACUGACGCUGAGGCACGAAGGCUAGGGUAGCAAACAGG